CUGCCUGGUAGUGGGGGAUAACGUCCGGAAACGGGCGCUAAUACCGCGUACGUCCUACGGGAGAAAGCAGGGGAUCUUCGGACCUUGCGCUAUCAGAUGAGCCCAGGUCGGAUUAGCUAGUAGGUGAGGUAAUGGCUCACCUAGGCGACGAUCCGUAACUGGUCUGAGAGGAUGAUCAGUCACACUGGAACUGAGACACGGUCCAGACUCCUACGGGAGGCAGCAGUGGGGAAUAUUGGACAAUGGGGGCAACCCUGAUCCAGCCAUGCCGCGUGUGUGAAGAAGGUCUUCGGAUUGUAAAGCACUUUAAGUUGGGAGGAAGGGCUUUAGGUUAAUACCCUGAAGUUUUGACGUUACCAACAGAAUAAGCACCGGCUAACUCUGUGCCAGCAGCCGCGGUAAUACAGAGGGUGCAAGCGUUAAUCGGAAUUACUGGGCGUAAAGCGCGCGUAGGUGGUUCAGUAAGAUGGG
rnacentral:rRNA from 1 species